rnacentral:rRNA from 1 species
UACGUAGGGCGCAAGCGUUAUCCGGAAUUAUUGGGCGUAAAGAGCUCGUAGGCGGUUUGUCGCGUCUGCCGUGAAAGUCCGGGGCUCAACUCCGGAUCUGCGGUGGGUACGGGCAGACUAGAGUGCAGUAGGGGAGACUGGAAUUCCUGGUGUAGCGGUGGAAUGCGCAGAUAUCAGGAGGAACACCGGUGGCGAAGGCGGGUCUCUGGGCUGUAACUGACGCUGAGGCACGAAAGCGUGGGGAGCAAACAGG